rnacentral:lncRNA from 1 species
GGGGUUGGGAGGUGCAGUAGCCUAAACGGCAGGCGCGGCGGCGGGGGGAAAUAACAACAGCAGCAGGCGCGGCGGCUGGGGGAAUUAGCAACCGAGUAGCAGCGGCAGCGACGGCGUUGGGGCUGGGAGGUGCAGUAGCCUAAAUGGCAGGUGUGGCGGCGGCGGGAAAUAGCAAUGCAGCAGCAGUGGCGGCGACGGCGGUGGGGUUGGGAGGUGCAGUAGCCUAAACGGCAGGCGCGGCGGCGGUGGGAAUAAGCAACGCAGCAGCAGUGGCAGCGAUGAAGGUGGGGUUGGAAGGUGCAGUAGCCUAAACGGCAGGCGUGGUGGGGGGGGAAAUAGCAAGAGCAGCAGGCGCGGCGGCUGGGGGAAUUAGCAACGGAGUAUCAGCGGCAGCGAUUGCGUUGGGGCUGGGAGGUGCAGUAGCCUAAAUGGCAGGCACGGCGGUGGCGGGAAUUAGCAACGGAGUAGCAACGGCAGCGAUGGCGGUGGGGCUGGGAGAUGCAUUAAUCUGAACAGGAGGCGCGGCGGCGGCGGGAGAUAGCAACGCAGCAGCAGUGGCAGCGACGGCAGUGGGGUUGGGAGGGCUAUUAGAGCAGCAGGCGCGGCGGCUGGGGGAAUUAGCAACGGAGUAUCAGCGGCAGCGAUUGCGUUGGGGCUGGGAGGUGCAGUAGCCUAAAUGGCAGGCACGGCGGUGGCGGGAAUUAGCAACGGAGUAGCAGCGGCAGCGACGGCGGUGGGGCUGGGAGGUGCAUUAAUCUGAACAUGGCAGGCACGGCGGCGGCGGGAGAUAGCAACGCAGCAGCAGUGGCAGCGACGGCAGUGGGGUUGGGAGGGCUAUUAGUCUCAACAGCAGGCACGGCGGCGGGGGGAAUUAGCAACGGAGUAGCAGCGGCAGCGACGAAGGUGGGGCUGGGAGGUGCAGUAGCUAAAAUGGCAGGCACGGCGGCGGCGGGAGAUAGCAACGCAGCAGCAGUGGCAGCGACGGCAGUGGGGUUGGGAGGGCUAUUAGUCUCAACAGCAGGCACGGCGGCGGGGGGAAUUAGCAACGGAGUAGCAGCGGCAGCGACGAAGGUGGGGCUGGGAGGUGCAGUAGCUAAAAUGGCAGGCACGGCGGCGGCGGGAAUAGCAACGCAGCAGCAGUGGCAGCGACGGCAGUGGGGUUGGGAGGGCGUAUUAGGCAGGCGUGGCGGUGGCAACAGCAGGCACAGGCGGGCGGCGGGGAAUUAGCAACGGAGUAGCAGCGGCAGCGACGAAGGUGGGGCUGGGAGGUGCUGUAGCUAAAAUGGCAGGCACGGCGGCGGCGGGAGAUAGCAACGCAGCAGCAGUGGCAGCGACGGCAGUGGGGUUGGGAGGGCUAUUAGUCUCAACAGCAGGCACGGCGGCGGGGGGAAUUAGCAACGGAGUAGCAGCGGCAGCGACGAAGGUGGGGCUGGGAGAUGCAGUAGCCUAAACGGCAGGCACGGCGGCGGCGGGAAUUAGCAACGCAGCAGCAGUGGCAGCGACGGCAGUGGGGUUGGGAGGUGCAGU